rnacentral:lncRNA from 1 species
AAGAAGCUUCUAAGCAACGUAAGCUUUUGGGGGCGCUUUACCCAGAUGGCUUAUUUUCGAGGUUUGCAGAAAAGCGCUGUCAUCUUUCUCUUCUGAGGGGGGGAAAAGAUGUGUGUGGCAGGAGGACCAGGCGGGCUAAAAGUUCUGCCUGUUUAAGCCUGGUGGUUUCAGUCUGGUUUGAGUAUGGUUUGUUCCAUAUUGAAAUGGCUGUGACCAACUGAUCUUGGAUCUUCUGCCCCCAGCUCACAGCUGAAUCCCAUUUCAUGAAAGAUCUGGGUUUGGACAGUUUGGACCAAGUGGAGAUCAUCAUGGCUAUGGAAGACGAAUUUGGAUUUGAAAUUCCUGAUGCAGAUGCAGAAAAGUUAAUGUGUCCACAGGAGAUUGUAGAUUACAUUGCAGAUAAGAAGGAUGUUUAUGAAUAAAAACAGUUCUUCAAAGCAAAGAGAUGUCUCUACCACUACGACUGGGCAGAUGUCAGCAGAUAUGAAUAUAAGCGCACAUGCUGUACUGUUGCUGCUUUCAUUAGAAAGUUGUACUGGAAAGUUGUAUUGGACAUUGUAUUUAAAGUUGUCUGAAUAUGUUGACCUUUAAAAACAGGGAGAAAAAAAGGAAUAAAUAUACAAGACCAGUGUUGCGUUGAUGGCCU